AAUCCAUAGGUUAAUGAGGCGAACCGGGGGAACUGAAACAUCUAAGUACCCCGAGGAAAAGAAAUCAACCGAGAUUCCCCCAGUAGCGGCGAGCGAACGGGGAGGAGCCCAGAGCCUGAAUCAGCAUGUGUGUUAGUGGAAGCGUCUGGAAAGGCGCGCGAUACAGGGUGACAGCCCCGUACACAAAAGCGCAUGUGCUGUGAGCUCGAUGAGUAGGGCGGGACACGUGGUAUCCUGUCUGAAUAUGGGGGGACCAUCCUCCAAGGCUAAAUACUCCUGACUGACCGAUAGUGAACCAGUACCGUGAGGGAAAGGCGAAAAGAACCCCGGCGAGGGGAGUGAAAAAGAACCUGAAACCGUGUACGUACAAGCAGUGGGAGCCCCACCACCAAAGCAUUCUCUGGUGUUGAAGGCCCUGCAAAGCAGCAUCGCGGUGGCGGAGCGUCGUUUGCGACGCCCAACACACAAAACAAGCGGUGAGUGCUUUGGGGUGGGGUGACUGCGUACCUUUUGUAUAAUGGGUCAGCGACUUAUAUUCUGUAGCAAGGUUAACCGAAUAGGGGAGCCGGAGGGAAACCGAGUCUUAACCGGGCGUUAAGUUGCAGGGUAUAGACCCGAAACCCGGUGAUCUAGCCAUGGGCAGGUUGAAGGUUGGGUAACACUAACUGGAGGACCGAACCGACUAAUGUUGAAAAAUUAGCGGAUGACCUGUGGCUGGGGGUGAAAGGCCAAUCAAACCGGGAGAUAGCUGGUUCUCCCCGAAAGCUAUUUAGGUAGCGCCUCGUGAAUUCAUCUCCGGGGGUAGAGCACUGUUUCGGCUAGGGGGCCAUCCCGGCUUACCAACCCGAUGCAAACUGCGAAUACCGGAGAAUGUUAUCACGGGAGACACACGGCGGGUGCUAACGUCCGUCGUGAAGAGGGAAACAACCCAGACCGCCAGCUAAGGUCCCAAAGUCAUGGUUAAGUGGGAAACGAUGUGGGAAGGCCCAGACAGCCAGGAUGUUGGCUUAGAAGCAGCCAUCAUUUAAAGAAAGCGUAAUAGCUCACUGGUCGAGUCGGCCUGCGCGGAAGAUGUAACGGGGCUAAACCAUGCACCGAAGCUGCGGCAGCGACACUCAGGUGUUGUUGGGUAGGGGAGCGUUCUGUAAGCCUGUGAAGGUGGCCUGUGAGGGUUGCUGGAGGUAUCAGAAGUGCGAAUGCUGACAUAAGUAACGAUAAAGCGGGUGAAAAGCCCGCUCGCCGGAAGACCAAGGGUUCCUGUCCAACGUUAAUCGGGGCAGGGUGAGUCGACCCCUAAGGCGAGGCCGAAAGGCGUAGUCGAUGGGAAACGGGUUAAUAUUCCCGUACUUGGUGUUACUGCGAAGGGGGGACGGAGAAGGCUAUGUUGGCCGGGCGACGGUUGUCCCGGUUUAAGCGUGUAGGUGUGUGUUCCAGGUAAAUCCGGUUCACUUUAACACUGAG
rnacentral:rRNA from 1 species